rnacentral:lncRNA from 1 species
CCUCCGGGACAGAGCGCUCACCUGCCCUCCCCCCGCUCCAGGGCACAGCACCCACCUGCCCUCCCCCUCCAACGCCAGGGCACAGCGCCCAGCUGCUCACAGCCCUGCACCGGGCAUCCCCAACUACCCCCGCACCGGGCAGAGUGGUCAGCUGCACUGCCCCCACCCAGGGCACCUGGUCGAGGGCUGGCCCCUGUCGGGGAAAUGUGGCCGGCAGAGCGUGACCGCCCUCGAACAAGGUGGAGAUGCUGCUGUCCCGGACGGUGCCAGCCGCGCCCGCGUCUGUUCCCGGGGCAGGCCGCGGGAGACCCCUCUUUGCUGACCACCUUUCCCACUGUCUCCGGGUCGCACACCUAGGGCGCGCGACCACUUUCCCACGGAAGCAGCCCAGGGUGUGGAGGAAGCACUACUGCCCUGGGUGGCCCCGCGGGUGGGCGGAGCACUUGGGAUUACAUCAAGUUGACCAUGGUAAUGUUGGACAUGGCAAAGUGUUUGUCUAACGAGAACUGAGCUGGAUGAAAAUACCUGAAAACAAGGGAAAAUCAGCCAGGGUGGUGAUGAGGUAAGUGCUUUAAUUAGCAACAGAUUUCAUGCAGACCUUGGGGAAAAUUUCAAGAAGCCUUUUUAUGUUUUUAUGCAAAGGAUCCUCUCUGUGAUGAUGUUGGGAAGGGCAAAUAUGAUGAAGGUUUUCAGAGAGUGAUGCCAAUAAUACAGUAAAUUCUUGACUCUUUGGAAUUCUAAACUAAGAGACAAGGUACUUAUUUUUAUUUCACUGUGUUUUUCAAAAUAACAUGCAAAAAUACUUAUUUUUCUGUGAAAUUUGGUUUCCUGUUAGAGUUCAUUUUAGAUGGCUGCUUUUGGAUAUCAGUAUCUCCUGUUUUGCUAAUUUUCCAUGUUACUUCAUUUUUUUUAAUUUUUUAAUGUUUGUUUAUUUUUGUGCACACAAGAGAGAGAAAGCAUGAGCAGGGGAGGGGCAGAGAGAGAGGGAGACACAGAAUCCGAAGCAGGCUCCAGGCUCUGAGCUGUCAGCACAGAGCCUGACACGGGGCUCGAACUCAUGAGCCGUGAGAUCAUGACCUGAGCUGAAGAUGGGCGCUUAACUGACUGAGCCACCCAGGUGCCCCUUUUCCAUCUUAUUUCAAAAAGAAUCUAAGAUAUCUAACAUUCUUCAUUGAUUAUCAAUAUAUUUUAAGUUCUUUCCCACCAAAGGGAUCCAUUUCCUAAUACCUCUCUCAUGAUCCUCAUCUUUAAAAUCUGUUUUGCCUACUAAUUUGCAUUUUUAAUUGGUAAAUUUCCCACAUUAAAUAAGACAGUGUGUGUGUG